rnacentral:pre_miRNA from 1 species
GUAGAGGAGCUGGCACAGUGGACACAGGCUGGUGUGGGGCUCUCCGGGCUCUCAGACAUAUGUCCUCUUCUCCCUCUUCCCAG